rnacentral:rRNA from 1 species
GACGAACGCUGGCGGCGUGCCUAAUACAUGCAAGUAGAACGCUGAAGAGAGGAGCUUGCUCUUCUUGGAUGAGUUGCGAACGGGUGAGUAACGCGUAGGUAACCUGCCUUGUAGCGGGGGAUAACUAUUGGAAACGAUAGCUAAUACCGCAUAACAAUAGGUGACACAUGUCAUUUAUUUGAAAGGGGCAAUUGCUCCACUACAAGAUGGACCUGCGUUGUAUUAGCUAGUAGGUGAGGUAACGGCUCACCUAGGCGACGAUACAUAGCCGACCUGAGAGGGUGAUCGGCCACACUGGGACUGAGACACGGCCCAGACUCCUACGGGAGGCAGCAGUAGGGAAUCUUCGGCAAUGGGGGCAACCCUGACCGAGCAACGCCGCGUGAGUGAAGAAGGUUUUCGGAUCGUAAAGCUCUGCUGUAAGUCAAGAACGAGUGUGAGAGUGGAAAGUUCACACUGUGACGGUAGCUUACCAGAAAGGGACGGCUAACUACGUG